AGAGGAUAUUCUUAGUACCUGAGCUAGACCUCCAGCGUGUAUCAGCGUGACAUCAGGCAUCCAGGAACAUCCAGGAACCACUAAGCCAUAAAGCGCAAUCACAAAGUAAGGGACAGAAUAGAACAUAUACGCCAGCAUCUGUAUUGAACAGAGAAAUCACAUCGUCAGCAAAUUAGCAGUUAACGGCCUGAGAUCUUGCUACAUGAUCUAAUACCUAUAAAAGGAAGAAACUUAGAAAGACAAACUAGCUUUGAAAUGAAGACCUUAACAGAGUACCUGCCAGGCCAGUAUUGUUUCACCUUGACCACCUUGGCUGUGGAUGGAAGACAGAUGUCUCAGAAGAUGUCUCCAUGGGCCUGGAUCUCCUGGGAAGCAGACCCUAUGGCUACGUGGACUAUCUCUCCAGCAUCCUCUCAGGACAGUAAAUAUAUAGGAAAUUAUGCUGGCUACACUGAUGUUCUGUUAAACUACACCAUGGUCAUCACGGCCAAAGGACUCCUGCAUUUCCAUGCUAUGUAUGAAACCCACAGCAUGAAAGGAAAAAGUUUGAAGAAGAAAGGAAAUUGGAUUCAUAUUCCAAAUCAUUAAGACGCUGUGGACAUCAUCAACACAGAAUAGACCCUCUGCACAUCCAGCCAGAUCUCUGCCUGUGUUAAUGGAGCCCCCAUCCCUGCCCAGUGCUCUCACACAGGGAACGGGACUAAGAGUAACAAAGUCACCGCUGACUCGGUCCCAGAAGAUCCCACAGGCCAUCCUGCCCAUCCUCCACUCCCCUGCACGCGCUGCCAGAGCCAAGCCCACAUCCCACCUGGGCAGUGGGCGCAAAGCCAGUAACCAGGUGGCCAAGGAAGCAGAGAGGUGACCGCCAGGUUUAAAACAAUGCCGCAGAUGAGGUGAUGCAUCCCAAUGAUGGCCGAGAGGCCCACUCACAGUGUGCCCGCGUCUGCCCUGCUCCACACUGGAGCUCCCGAAGACAAGCAGGAUGCUGAUGUACAAAGUGACAAUGGCUUUAAGAAAAAAAGCCAGUGAUUUUAAAAAAUGAAAACAAGAUGGUACAACUGAAUAUCGAAGAAGAAAAGCUGUAGCGUCGUAGAGAAUCUUACUAGAGUUGUGGGCGUCUCCUAAACGGGCUUAAAACUACUAGCCGCAAAUAGCUACGGGACAACAGUUACUAAACAGCGGGUGAUGAAAUCCAGUGCAUGUCAGUUUGCUAAAGCUGCAUUUCCAAGUUGUCAUAAGUCGGUGUCUCAGACAAUGGGAUGGGCAUGGACAGCAGAAAAAUCUGACAGUGAAUAUAAGAAAAGCUGUGAAAGAAGAAAUGGAGAGGAGAGAGGAGAAGGUGGACUCGCAGAGAAGAGAAGCCAGCCUUGCCCAGAGCCUGCAGCCAGGAGCGCGCCAUUCACAUCUGCCCAGCCAGGAGCGCGAGGCCUGCCCCUGCACUGUCCGGCAGACGUGCCUUCCCCGCGCCUCCACGGAGGCCUUCGGCCCAGUUCUCACCGACAGCAUCACUUUCUGACACUCGUGUUUCGGAACCCUCCAGGGUGAUUAGCCAUCAUACGUCUCCCAGGGAAGGAAGUGCUCGGCACGUCAUCUACCAGUGACCGCUGAUGCCAACAGGGACACUGUCUCUGCUUUCUAGUGGGCGAGGAGUCUGGCCUGGGCCCUGACCCUGAGGCUGCAGCGUGCUCAAAGCUGUGACAGCGACCAGGACAGGGGACUGAGGCUGUAGGAGAGUAGGCAUCCGGCCUUGAAGAGUCAUCAGGACAGUUAGCGUGGACUCUGUGGACUGGGGAGGGAGAAGGGGACAGACGGCACAGGAGACCAGCCUGGAAGGGCGGAUGGGCCUGGUGGUCAGAGGACCCAGCUCAUCUGCUGACGCUGCGAAACCGUAGGCAAGUUACAUCAUUUCUCCAGGCUUCACUUGUUUAUAUGUGGAUUGGGAGAAACUAAUCACUCAAAAUUAUUGUUUCUCACCCCACCUUUGCCAAGGUCCACUGUGGGCAGAGAAUGCUCCCCGUGCCAUUGAUGAUGGGCUCAGCCCUGUGAUUCUUCAGCCACUGAAUGUGGGUGGAAGUGACAGGGGGCAGCUCCCACCCAAGGCCACCAGCCCCUCUGUGCCUCUGAACCUGCACGAGAAGGGCACACCCUGGGGAGCUGCUGGUCCAAGAACAAGGAAACACAUAGAACAGCCCUGAAUCCAACCCACAGCCUGAAGCAGAGUGGCCCCCGCCAACCCACAAACCCGAGAGCAAGAAAAACAAAUGUCCAUGGCUGUAGGAUUUGGGGAGUAUUUGAUAUGCAGCAUCACUGAAGCAGAAAUUAAAGAACAAAAUGUCCAGCAAAGUGCCCGGCACAGGAAGUGCUCAGAUGCAGUAACAGCUUUGCUUCAGGCACAUGAAAGGGCACAGGCUGUGGGGGUCAAUGCUGUUCUCACGAGUCACGUGACCGUGACCACAUUUCGUGGCAUCUCUGAGCCAGCAUCUUCAUUUGCCAGUGGAGGGACUGUGAGGAUUAAAUAGAGCAAUACCACUAAAAGGCUCAGAGCCGUACAAGGCACACUCAAGGCAUUAUUAUUUAUUUACCAUACAUGUAUAUUUGCCAGGCACUGUUCUAAAUACUUUACAAGUACUAUCUUAAUGUAUCAACUCUCCAUGGCAGGUGCUAUUGAUUUUCCUCUUUAUGCAAAUGAACAGGGGAGAUGAGGUACCACUAAGUUCGGCACUAGGUGGAGGGGACUGCAAGUAGCAGGCUGAAGGCAGGAAGCCCAGAGGGGCUGGUACAGGAGUCAAGUCAGAGGUCAGAGGUCAAAGCAUGCUGGGGAUUUGGGAGCAAAGAAUGGAGGGGCGCCCUGCCUGGCCCUGGCAGGAACCCUCCACCAGGACCCCACCUGGGAGAGAGUGGGGUCUGGAGCCCUGGAGAGGUGACAGCUUGGAGGCAAGGGCCGCGUGGUCCCGCAGCACCUGCACUUCCAGCCACCGUGACCGAUGGGCUCAGCAUUCACAACCAAGGAGGAAUAUGUGACUGAGGCCAGAAGUAUUACGUAAUUAAGCAGACACAAAUGAUUUCCCUCCGGGGAGACAUACCGUAGAACAGCGGGUCCCGGGGUGGCUUUCUUUUGACAAGGACACGAGCCAGCAGGGCUACCAGCAGCAGGAUGAGGGCAGCAACCCCUACAAUUGUCCAGGAACUGCAACAACCAGAACAGGGAGGUGGUCACUAACAAAAUAAACACAAUGGUGCCUGGAAUUUCCUGCCUAUUGAAUGCACUCUCUCCCAGCGCUGCGUAAUUCAUACAUAAUUCUGCCUCUGCCUGCAGCCCAUGGCACCGUAGAGUUCGUGAAGUUUCUCUGCAACACUUUGGCCGGUCUGGGCCACAGCCCCUGGUUUCCAGGGACCAGAGCCAACAGGCCCUCACUCUCCUC